AUACGGAGGGUGCAAGCGUUACUCGGAAUCACUGGGCGUAAAGCGCGCGCAGGCGGGCUGAUAAGUUGGAUGUGAAAGCCUACGGCUCAACCGUAGAACUGCAUCCAAAACUGUCAGUCUAGAGUGUGGGAGAGGAAGAUGGAAUUAGUUGUGUAGGGGUAAAAUCCGUAGAGAUAACUAGGAAUACCAAAAGCGAAGGCAAUCUUCUGGAACACUACUGACGCUGAGGUGCGAAGGCGUGGGGAGCAAACAGGAUUAGAAACCCCUGUAGUCC
rnacentral:rRNA from 1 species